GACAUAUCGUAUCUUACGUGUGCACUUCAAUAUAGAGGUGCUACCAUCUUUGGAUGUGUCUUUCCAAAUCAGCCCUUGUCCAUCUAGACUGCAGGAGUUCCUUGUCCAAAUGGAUGUUGUCAAUAGAUCUAGCUCAAAAGGCUUUCAGGUUCACCAAUUGUCAUCUGUUGGGAAUGAAUGGGAGAUAUCAUUGCUCGAACCAACUAAGGUCCUCCCUUCAGAUUUUCUACUUGCUGGUCAAGCAAUUUCAUGGUUUCUCAAGCUCAAGAAUUGUAGGUCGGUAACUGAUCAAGAUCGCCCUUCGGUGAAGGCAGAUGUCAACUUGCUCUGCGGAAGUGAAAUGGUUUUUGAUCUAUACAGCUCUCCCUUGUCUGAAUUUCACCAUUGCGAACGAGUACAUCAGAGAAUAUCGGAUCAGGAGCACGAGGACACGGUUGACUUUAUAUUGGUAUCCAGAUCACAGUGUGAGGAGAAUGAUCGCGCAAAUAUUUUCUCCCAUCACAUAUGUCACUGCAGUUUCAGAACGAGUAGUCCGAUAUGGUGGAUAAUAGAUGGCCCCCGAACUGUAAAACAUGAUUUUAAGGAACCUUUCUAUGCGAUUACACUAAAGAUGAUAGUCCACAAUUCCUCCGAUGAUGUUGUGUCCAUUCGCUGUAACCCCUCUGAUUCUGCAGUCAACAUCAGCUCAUCAGGAACUACAUCUGCAGCUUCUGGAAACGAAGUAGGCUGGCACGAUUUGUCUCUGUCAAACGACGUUAAAAUCACACCUGAUACCCCAGGAACUCGAGUAGUGAAGCCAAUGUCGUCUGAUACAGUUCCGUCUUUCAUCUGGUCAGCUUCAAGUUCUACUCAUUUUACACUCGAUCCGUUAUCUUCUAGGGAAACUCCUAUGGAAAUUUGUGUAUUUUCACCUGGCACAUUUGAUCUAUCAAACUACUCAUUGCACUGGAGUCUCUCAUCCCCGAGCGAUCAACGCGUUGAAUCGAGAGCUUCAUCUGGAACAUGUCAAGGCCAUCCAUUCUACAUAACAGUGCUGCAACAAGAUUGAGAACUUUUGAGAAUUGGUAAGUCAACGUA
rnacentral:misc_RNA from 1 species